rnacentral:rRNA from 1 species
CCUACGGGAGGCAGCAGUGGGGAAUAUUGCACAAUGGGGGAAACCCUGAUGCAGCAACGCCGCGUGAGUGAAGAAGGAUUUCGGGAUGUAAAGCCCUAUCAGCAGGGAAGAAGAUGACGGUACCUGCGUAAGCAGCCACGGCUAACUACGUGCCAGCAGCCGCGGUAAUUCGUAGGGGGGAAGCGGUAUCCGGAUUUACUGGGUGUAAAGGGAGCGUAGACGGGGCGACAAGUCUGAAGGGAAAGCUCGGGGCUCAACCCCGGGCCUGCUUGGGAAACUGCCUGACUGGAGUGCUGGAGAGGCAGGCGGAAUUCCUAGUGUAGCGGUGAAAUGCGUAGAUAUUAGGCAGAACACCAGUGGCGAAGGCGGCUUGCUGGACAGUUACUGACGUUGAGGCUCGAAAGCGUGGGGAGCGAACAGGAUUAGAUACCCUUGUAGUC